rnacentral:tRNA from 3 species
CUCUCCGUAGUUUAGCGUGGUUUAGAGCGUCAGACUGUAAAUCUGAAAGUCGGGCGUUCGACUCGCCCCGGGGAGA